rnacentral:tRNA from 5 species
GCCGAUUUAGCUCAGUUGGUAGAGCAACGCAUUCGUAACGCGUAGGUCGCAGGUUCGAUCCCUGUAAUCGGCA